rnacentral:rRNA from 1 species
GACGAACGCUGGCGGCGUGCUUAACACAUGCAAGUCGAACGGAAAGGCCCUGCUUUUGUGGGGUGCUCGAGUGGCGAACGGGUGAGUAACACGUGAGUAACCUGCCCUUGACUUUGGGAUAACUUCAGGAAACUGGGGCUAAUACCGGAUAGGAGCUCCUGCUGCAUGGUGGGGGUUGGUAAGUUUCGGCGGUUGGGGAUGGACUCGCGGCUUAUCCGCUUGUUGGUGGGGUAGUGGCUUACAAAGGCUUUGACGGGUAGCCGGCCUGAGAGGGUGACCGGCCACAUUGGGACUGAGAUACGGCCCAGACUCCUACGGGAGGCAGCAGUGGGAAAUAUUGCACAAUGGGCGGAAGCCUGAUGCAGCAACGCCGCGUGCGGGAUGACGUCCUUCGGGUUGUAAACCGCUUUCGCCGGUGACGAAGCGUGAGUGACGGUAAUGGGUAAAGAAGCACCGGCUAACUACGUG